rnacentral:tRNA from 1 species
GUGGCUCAGUGGAAAGAGCCUGGGCUUGGGAGCCAGAGGUCAUGGGUUCGAAUCCUGUC